rnacentral:rRNA from 1 species
UACGAAGGGGGCUAGCGUUGCUCGGAAUCACUGGGCGUAAAGCGCACGUAGGCGGAUCGCUAAGUCAGGGGUGAAAUCCUGGAGCUCAACUCCAGAACUGCCCUUGAUACUGGCGAUCUCGAGUCCGGGAGAGGUGAGUGGAACUGCGAGUGUAGAGGUGAAAUUCGUAGAUAUUCGCAAGAACACCAGUGGCGAAGGCGGCUCACUGGCCCGGUACUGACGCUGAGGUGCGAAAGCGUGGGGAGCAAACAGG